GCAGAGGUGGUUCAGCGGUAGAAUUUUCACCUUCCAUAUGAGAGACCCAGAUUCAAUUCUGGCCAGUACA
rnacentral:tRNA from 1 species